ensembl:lncRNA
GAAACAGUGAGCUGUCUUUGUUCGAAAUACAGGUGAACGGCAAUCAUGUGAUUAACACACACACACACAUAAAAAGCUUUUUAACAGCGCCCGCCCGGCCUCAGAACCGCCCGGAGAGAAGCCGCCUUGGAUGGACAGAGGGACGGAGCGGCGAGCAUCCGGCCAGUCGUGCCCCGGCUCCCCUGCAGCGGUCUCCAACUGCUGUCUGCCGUCUGCCCGCUGCCCGCCUGCCUGGCAUCUCUCUCCCGGUGCUAGCUGCAUUCCUGGCCUGGAAGCAAUGAGCCCGUCCUACCCCUGUGUCACUCUGGAUGGUUUUGCAGAGGUGCCUCACCUGAUCCUGGGUAGAUGACAUCACCCUACAGUGGAACCACCAGGCACCUCCCCAGACCACUCAUACCUUCUGUCACAGACAUCAAUCAUCCUUGCUGCUCAGUUCCCUUGACUGGAGCAGCAGGAUGGGAGGCCUCUCUCAAGCUGCCAGUAGCAGGAGGAUCUGGACCUGGGAAUGUGUGGAUGGUAGCAAUCAAAACAACAAACCCAUGAAGGGCAGCUACAGCACGGGUGAAGUUUGAAAAUAUGCUCAAUGAGAGAAGGCAGCUACAAAAGGACACACAUUAUUCCAGUUCUGUGAAAUUCCACAGCAGGGUCUUACAGUGUAUCCCUGGCUGCCCUGGAGCUCACAAAGUACUUCUGCCUCAGCCUCCUGAGAACGGGGAUUACAAGGGUGUGUCAGCCUUGCUGGCUCUAAAAAAUAUGAUUUAAAAAAAUCUUCCACUUAUAAUAACACAAUUAAAUAUAAUAAAAGAUUUACAAUGUUCAUUUUAAAA